rnacentral:rRNA from 1 species
UUCCUACGGGAGGCAGCAGGUGGAAUAUUGGACAAUGGAGGCAACUCUGAUCCAGCCAUGCCGCGUGCAGGAAGACUGCCCUAUGGGUUGUAAACUGCUUUUAUACAGGAAGAAACACUCCCUCGUGAGGGAGCUUGACGGUACUGUAAGAAUAAGGAUCGGCUAACUCCGUGCCAGCAGCCGCGGUAAUACGGAGGAUCCAAGCGUUAUCCGGAAUCAUUGGGUUUAAAGGGUCCGUAGGUGGAUAAUUAAGUCAGAGGUGAAAUCCUGCAGCUCAACUGUAGAAUUGCCUUUGAUACUGGUUAUCUUGAGUUAUUAUGAAGUAGUUAGAAUAUGUAGUGUAGCGGUGAAAUGCAUAGAUAUUACAUAGAAUACCAAUUGCGAAGGCAGAUUACUAAUAAUCAACUGACACUGAUGGACGAAAGCGUGGGGAGCGAACAGGAUUAGAUACCCUGGUAGUCCACGCCGUAAACGAUGGUCACUAGCUGUUCGGACUUCGGUUUGAGUGGCUAAGCGAAAGUGAUAAGUGACCCACCUGGGGAGUACGUUCGCAAGAAUGAAACUCAAAUGAAUUGACGGAA